rnacentral:rRNA from 1 species
UACGUAGGGGGCAAGCGUUAUCCGGAUUUACUGGGUGUAAAGGGAGCGUAGACGGCCAGACAAGUCUGAAGUGAAAAUCCAGCGCUUAACGUUGGAAGUGCUUUGGAAACUGCCGGGCUAAAGUGCAGGAGGGGCAGGCGGAAUUCCUAGUGUAGCGGUGAAAUGCGUAGAUAUUAGGAGGAACACCAGUGGCGAAGGCGGCCUGCUGGACUGCAACUGACGUUGAGGCUCGAAGGCGUGGGGAGCAAACAGG